CCCAGGGCUCGCGCCCUGGGCUACUAUCUUUCGCCGCUCUGCGGCU
rnacentral:sRNA from 1 species